rnacentral:pre_miRNA from 1 species
GCAUGCCUGGCUCCCUGAAUGCCAUCUAAGAAGCUUUGUCAAAGAGUGUUGGCUCUCUUCCUACAUGGCAUUAGGGGAGUCAUGCAGGC